rnacentral:rRNA from 1 species
CCUACGGGAGGCAGCAGUGGGGAAUAUUGCACAAUGGGGGAAACCCUGAUGCAGCGACGCCGCGUGAGUGAAGAAGCGUUUCGGCACGUAAAGCUCUGUCGGCAGGGAAGAAAAUGACGGUACCUGACCAAGAAGCCCCGGCUAACUACGUGCCAGCAGCCGCGGUAAUACGUAGGGGGCAAGCGUUAUCCGGAUUUACUGGGUGUAAAGGGGGCGUAGACGGCAGUGCAAGCCAGGAGUGAAAGGCGGGGGCUCAACCCCGGGACUGCUCUGGAAACUGCCAGGCUGGAGUGCAGGAGAGGCAGGUGGAAUUCCUAGUGUAGCGGUGAAAUGCGUAGAUAUUAGGAGGAACACCAGUGGCGAAGGCGGCUUGCUGGACUGUAACUGACGUUGAGGCCCGAAAGCGUGGGGAGCAAACAGGAUUAGAUACCCGAGUAGUC